ensembl:snoRNA SCARNA2 small Cajal body-specific RNA 2
CCUCACGGGAGGGAGCGCGGCCUGGGGUGCGGGUGCUGUGAGUGGUACUGCGGUGUCGCGUGGAUGGCGCGUGCGGGCCGAGUGUGUGUGUGGGUGGAUGUGAGCGUGCGUGGGGCGUGCAAGGCGAGUGCGUGACGCCCCCUACGGCCCUCCCCCCGUCUACACCUUGAUCUUAUUUGAUCGGGUUGUGACCCCAGCCCGCCGGGCCGGCCCGAGAUGAAAAGCUCCCCUCCUGCGAAGCCCGCUCCGGGCGCUGUGCAGCGAGGCCCUUGGGUGGCGGCGGCGCCGCGGUCCCGGAGCCGAUCUGCGGGGCCCGGCGCUCAGAAGUGAUGAAUUGAUCAGAUAGACGAGGCCGGGCUUGUCCCGGCCGCUGAUUAUCGAGGCGAUUCUGAUCUGA